GUCUACAGCCAAAUCACCCUGAAUGCACCAGAUCUUGUCUGAUCUUGGAAGCUAAGCAGGGUCUGGCCUGGUUAGUACUUGGAUAGAAGUGCCAUUAUUUUCAGUCUGCAAUCUGGUGACCCAGAAAUGCCAGUGGUGUAAUUC
rfam:Nomascus leucogenys chromosome 6, whole genome shotgun sequence.